CAAACUACCUCAAACCCUAAUGUGUGUCUCCACGCUCGCGGUGGCUGGGUUUGCUCGCGCGCGGGAAGGAGGCAGUAGAAGACUUCGGUUCCUUGAAACUGCCCUGAGGUCACCUACACUGUGGUCAAGAUUUCUGAAGGCUCUAAGUCAGGAGCACAGGACAUUUUCCAGACACCAGAACACAAAAGGAUGUAAAGAAUCAUUAGUUCAAAUCUGGGAGUAAGAAGUACAUGCAACAGAAAACAAAAGUAAAAGAACAGCCACCUCUGAAGUCAAC